rnacentral:tRNA from 1 species
GAUUGUGGCUCAGUGGCAGAGAGCUUGCCUUGCAUGUAUGAAGCACUGGGUUCAAUCCUCAGCAAGACA